AAGAUUAUAAAGUACAAUUUACAACCAAACAGUGAUCCGCGUUUAUAACCACACUAAGACUUAGUUAAGGUUCAUCAUGACAAAUGGACAAAAAUGGCUGUAUUUCCACCUCAAAAACUACUCUGAGUACGACUCACUAAAAUUUCACUAUUGAGGAUUAAAUCUAUAUAUAUUAGUUUAAAUAUAGACACGUACGCAUUUAUUGACAUUAUGUUCUAGCAGAAAGAUUUAAACAUUUAAUUGGUAUUCGCCAUUUUGGAACUGCAUAGACUUAAAGUGAGAAAAUAUAAUGGAAUCCAAUGGAUUGCUGUACAGAGGUCUGCAGUUACUUAUAAAACUUAUUUUAGCCAUUCUCACUGUUUUAGCUCUAUGCUAUAUCUUUAUUAUCGUUACCAGAAAAUGAUGGAAAUGCUUUUGAUUAACUAUAAACUAGAAAGGCAAAUACUACAGUGGUUGAAAAUCAUCUUUAGCUUUCGUGAUACUAAAAAGGCUUAACAUACAGAAGAACCGUACUUGCUAUUGGAGAUUCAUAUAGAUUUAAGAAAGUCAUUGAAACAAUUGUUACAUGUUAUAUAUGUUACAGCAAAGAAUUUGUUUUAGAUACUCUAUUUUUGAGUCAGGUGAAAUAAAUUGUUCUUGGAAAUA